rnacentral:rRNA from 1 species
UACGUAGGGAGCAAGCGUUGUCCGGAAUCAUUGGGCGUAAAGCGCGCGUAGGUGGCCAUGUAAGUCCGCUGUGAAAGUCAAAGGCUCAACCUUUGAAAGCCGGUGGAUACUGCAUGGCUAGAGUACGGAAGAGGCGAGUGGAAUUCCUGGUGUAGCGGUGGAAUGCGCAGAUAUCAGGAGGAAUACCGGUGGCGAAGGCGGCAUCCUGGACCGACAUUGACGCUGAACGGCGAAAGCUAGGGGAGCAAACGGGG